CGCGAGCGCGCCGCGCGAGGGGGCGCCCUGACCCCGCCGGGAGUGCGGAGGGGGCGGGGGCGGAGUCGCCAUCUUGGACUCGGCUCGACCCUGUCUGGUGACCCGCGACGCUGGGCCAGGCUCGGCGCCUGGGGUUGGGAACCCUAAUACAUCUACCUUCCCAUAAAGAGCCAGUUCAGAUGCCACCCAUGUCAAUUAUGUAGGAUGCAACCAUUGGUGAACUGUGUGAAGGCUGUGAGGGACCUCCCUGCUCUAUCUUUGCAACUUCCUGUGAAUCUUUAAUUGCGUCAAAGGAAAAAGGAAAAAAGCUGGUGGCUGUUAAUUCAGCAAAUUCAAUUUUCCAAGUGAAGAAAGUUGCCCUUGCAUCAAGCUCAUGAAUAUAAUUCCUGUUGGUGGAUAUAAUUCUUCCAUUAUAAGCUUCAUCCAUCAUGCCACGACAAGUGGCCGGAGCUGUGAGCUUGAACAUGGCAAAGACUGGGCUGCGGCCCCCAACCCCUGGGGCCACUGACCUGUGGCCUCUUAGGAACCUGGCCGCACAGCAAGAGGAAUUGGCCUACGUGACUACAGAGGUUGAGCAGUUCCAAGAUCUGCAGUCAGCAAGCUGGAGAGUCAAUGGCAUAUAGUUCCACUAAGAUCUGAAGGCCUGAGAGGCAGCAGAGUCAUGGUGUACCCUGCAAGUUUGUUGCACAAAGAGGAGGAAUGAUUUGGGUCUGGUGCCACUGUGAUAAUUUAUUCUGAAGAUGCUGGGGCAGUGAGAUGUAAAAAUUCAAUGGCCCAAACUUCUCAUCUGGAAUUGAGCACUACAGUCAGCUAGAGCGAUUUAUCAAAGGAGAGAUCCCUGCAACCCAGCCCAGCCUCCUGGAUCCAUCUCUUCUUCUAUACAUGUUACUGCUAUGGUUUCAUCUGCAAUUAAAGCAAAUUUAAAGAAAUAUAAGCAACUAGGUAUAGAUAUCUUUUUCUUAACAAAACUUUAUAAUCUAUCAUUGCCUGAUAAAAUUUUGUCACUGCCUGAUCUAACUUUUAAUUGUUUUUUUUUUCUUUCCUUCACUCUGCUCUAAGAAUAUUGUCUUAUUUUCUCAUACUCUCACAUGCAGGCUGAACUCCUAUUACGAGCUUUUCCCCCUUAGCCUUAGGUAUGAAUUGCCUCAUUAACUCUUAGUACCCUGGUAAAAGUAUAUUUUCUUUGCAAUUUACUUUUCUUAGGGACACAAAAUUCUUCUUUCUGCAGAUUUUCUUAUCUCCAGGAUUGAUUUCUGUGCUACAGGAACAAGAUUACCAAGGCAGGCAUAAACUUCAUGACUGUCAUUUUCCAAUCAGAUAAAGGUUAUAACUGGCUAACCAUUUUAUAUUACUCCUUCUAAUUCCAUAUAGGGGAAAAAGCAUGAGCUUUGGGUUCAAGACUCAGAUUUAUAAUAUAUGUUUGUGAUCUAGGUUGGCUGGCUAUUUAACCUCUCUGACAUUUAGUUUUCUCAUCUGUAAGAUAUGCAAUAACUUAGAUCAUAGGAUUAUUACAAAUGUGAAAUAAGGUGUGUAAACCACCUAGCUUGGUACCUGUACAUAGUGAGUACUCAAAUUUUAAUUUCCUGUGCUCUCUCACUCUUCUCUUUUGAGGCUUAUAUUUGAGGUAAAAUUAUUUGCACAAAAUACUAAUUAUUAUAAUUUAACCACUCUAACAGCUUGUAACAGACUUUAAGCCUUAUUCUCAAAAGAAUGAUGCCUAAUUUUUCUUGAGCUUAAACAUAAAGUUCACUGUGUUUAUUAAUUGCCACAGAAUACUGAGGGAACUGACAGUUAAUAACUCACAGCUAUUAUCAGUGAUCUUUGAUAAGACAUGUAGGGUAGGAGGGAUUCAAGAACACUUGGAAUGAGCAAAUAUUCCAAAUUUCUAAAGAAGGAACAAAAUAGGUACCCCACCUGCCACCCCAUCAAAUGACAGAGUAGCCAGCUUGAUAUUAAUUCCUAGAAAAAUUCUAAAAGUGGCAACUACACUUGUGAUUUGUAAGCAUUUAGAAAAGAAAGCAUGAUUGUCAGGAACUGAUGUGGUUUCACUAGGACCAGGAUAUUUCCCUUUUCUUUCCUUUUUCCUUUUAAAUAAUUUUAAGUCCUGAGCAUUACAUUAAUGAUGUAGACCUAGUGUGUUUUGAUGUAGCAAAACACCUAACAAAAUUCUCAUGAUAUCCUUGUGGAUAUCCUUUUACUUAGAAAAAUGUGAUCUGGAUUAUAUAUCUAUCUUCUAUUUUUAUCUUUGUUCUAAAAAAGAUUUUUUUUGUGUGUGUCUUUAAAAAUACAUAAAAUUUAAUAAGACGAGGUGAAAAAGUGAGAAAAUUAGGGUAAAGGAGAAACAAGGUUAGGGAAAAUAAAACGAAACCAUAAGUGUGUGGUGGUUCCAUAAAACGUGUAUUAUAAUAUUCUGUUAUUCCAUCCUUUGUACACUUGCUAGAGGUAGUUUACAGAUUUUGCUGUGGGCUUCCUAACAGUCAAAGCAAAAAGGAAGCAUCAUAAAUAAAAGUGUCUAUAAGAAAGAAGAACAGCACUGAGAGCAGAGAGAAGCUUCUGUUGGGUUCUCGUAAAGAGGACAUAUGUCACGUAGUAAGCCAUCUGCUCAUACAUCCUCAUGUUCAACACAGUGGUGAGUUUCAAGUGCUGCUUCAUAUGAAGUACCUUGGUAUAGGCCAAAGCAUUUUAUCACGUAAAGAAAUUUCUAUGGGCAAUUAGGGGUUAGGGGUCUUGAGUUUGCCAUCAAGAUAUGCAACUCUCUGAUAGUAAGGGAAACGUUUUAACCAUUAAUGCUCUAGCUAGUCAGCUGGUUUCUAAAACCUCUUGGAAGAUCAUUGAUUAAAGGGUAGAUUUCUCUACCACUCUGCUUUAUCCUUGGAUACUCAGAAUUAUCAUCAGAGAAGAAGCAGUUGAAAACGCUCUUCACAUUUUUGGAUAAUGAGAACUUGGGAGGGACAGUAGAUAAUAAUUAAAUGGUCUUGAUACCUGCCGUGUCUCAAAAAAUGCCUACAAGAUAAACUUUAGUAGCUAUCAAUAUAUAAAAUAGCGAAUUUGGGUUAAAAAGCAAAUUUCUUGAGUGAUAGAACCAGGGACAGUCUGAAAGCAAAGCAGACUGUUUGGAAAGGAGACCAGGAGCUUCCGUGACUGCAAACUCUGAUGCAGACUCAAACGACAGUGUGCCAUGGCUUCUAAGAAAGCCAACGUUGCACCUGUAGAAGCACUGUGUCCAACGGGUUCCACAACACUCCGCCCUGCCCAGGUCACAUCUGGAGCCUAGUGUUAAAUUUUCAUGCCAUUUUCCAAAAGAGAGAUUCAUUCAAAGGAGAGUGUUGGGGAUGCUGAGAAAUCUAAGGGCAAAUUUAGAGAAACUGCAGAUUAUUAUCUUGGAAAUGAGAAGACAAAAUAAACAUAAAAUCUGCCUCAGUUGAAGAGAUAUUAUAUAGUCAAGAGAACAAAAAAAUCUAGUGAUUGAUUAUAUAGGAGUAUAAUUAAAGAAAAAUAUUCUAAUAAUUAGAACUAUCUGAAAAAUCAAAAUAGUCUUUCUUAUGAGUGGUGAGCUUCUCAUCACUGGAAGAACUCAAGGAGAGUCUGUAUAGCUUCCAGCAAUGCAGGAUAGCUUGAUAAGGAUGAGAGAUUGUUCUAAGUGACCUCCACAUUCCCUUCCCACUCUGAGAUUUUAUGCAUCUUUACCUGAAAUGGCAGAAAUUUCAAUAGUUAAAAAAAUCCACAAGUUAUUUAAAGAGGAAAAAUCAAUCUAGUCUCAGACUAUUGUUAGUAUCUCAGAAGAUCUGCCCCCAAAUGACUAAGUUAAAAUAACACAAGCAGAAGAUGAUGAAUCAUGCUGCUUCUCCUAAUGGUCCCUAACGUGCAAAGCCCAGGUUCACAGCUGCCACUCGGAGAGACUACGUGAGGAGGGAGAACUAAAUCACGGUAGGUAGAGCACUGUAAUGUUCCCAGCUGGUAGCUUGUGUGUAUGUGAUUACCUCGUAUUCCUUACCAGCUGUUUUUUAACAUUAGUCAUACUGAUUUAAAACAACCACCCUCUUUUCAUUUAUCUCAAUAAGCACUGUUCUUUUUGGAGGAGUAAGACAUUUCAUUUAAAAGUGGAAGCUUUUCUUAGUUCUUAAGUGCAUGUGUUGUGAUUGUAGGUGUAAGUGCUUCACAGUGCCAUUGAGAGUCUCAGGGGAGGUAACUAUUUGGGUUCUGCUCUCUCUUCUCAUUCUUGACCCAGGCCACUGAGGUUGCGGCAGGGUCACGGGCCUGGGGAGAAUCAGUUGUAUCUCCAUGGCCAGCAUAAAGGAGGCUUUAGAAGGUGGACACACUUUCAGAAGGAGUCCAGGGGGAAUGAGCGGGCAGGGCUGGUGGUCCCAAUCACAUCUCUUGCUUCCAGGGCAGGGAUACUUGAUGGGUGGGUUUUCUUGCUUGAUGCUCUUGGGGUUUGAAUGAGGCAGCAUCCUAAGGCGUGCUAGACUGAUAACAGGAGUAUGAGCGUACCUAGUCUGGAAUGGGGAUUUCGGUCACCAAAGGUAAGCAAGGUCAGGGACUGGAAAAAACAGUAGGACACCAUGGAGCUAUUUACUCAGGGUGGCAUGGGGAAGGCACUCUGAAAGCUCAUGGCCAAAGUUUAAAGCCAGAAUAGGAAGUGGUGGAAUCAGCCGAAGGCUGCUCACACAGAUUCUGCUAAAAGAUAUGGGGACCUCACAGGCUAGCUUUUAUUAAGUCUCACUUAGGGUCAGUUUAAAGGCCUAUGACAGUGGCUAAGGCCAGAGGUUUCCUGAACGCUCAGCCUACCAAUGGGUAUGCGAUUCCUGGAUCUGUCAAAGUCUGCUAUUCCUCUCCAAGAAAUCUCCAGGACAGAUGGGUCAACAGAUUAAAAGAAUCUGGUUCCCUUAGGGCUAAGAAAUUGAUUUAGCAGGUCAUAUUCCUAAUCUUGGCGCAAAUUCCUCUGCUGAGAAACCUGUGAAAACUUUGGUCAGUCUUCUCUUGUCUCAACAGUGAAUUCUAUUGCAGAGUGGCCCAUGCGAGCUUGUCCUCUCCCCCUCCCUUCCUUGGCAGCUCUGCUGUACAGGGUGCACCCAGGCAGCUCCUGGGACGUGCAGGGGUGGCUAAGGUGGUUUAUUGCCUUGGUGUGUCCUUGCACUGUCUCUUCCCUCAGACAUAGACUAAGCCCUCGGUGUAUCUUUUUAUAAUCUAGGAAAGUCUGUGUACCUUUAUUAUAUUCUAUGAAAGUCUAUAUAUCUUCCCUAUGCUUGAAAGCUAUGCCAUUAGCCUAAUCAUAAUAUAAUUCUGAUUGGAUAUUCUCUUAACUUAUAUCUACACAUUUAAUUUCUACCAAUUUAUGGUUGCAUUUUACUAUUUUGAUUAGUCACCAGUGAAUGAUCUUAAUCUUGUAUACCAUCAUAAAUAAAUUAUUAGAGUUCUCGAAGAUUCCUUCAAAGACUCCCUUAUGUAUGUGUGCCUUAAUUUACAGGUUAAGUCUUCUUUUGGAUUUUUUCUUGAUUCCUUUGCCUAGGGAGGGUUAACACUCAACAUCUUAGGAUGGUCUCAUCUGUACACAUCUUGUUACUCAUUAUAUA